rnacentral:rRNA from 1 species
UACGGGGGGGGCAAGCGUUGUUCGGAAUUACUGGGCGUAAAGGGCUCGUAGGCGGCCAACUAAGUCAGACGUGAAAUCCCUCGGCUUAACCGGGGAACUGCAUCUGAUACUGGAUGGCUUGAGUUCGGGAGAGGGAUGCGGAAUUCCAGGUGUAGCGGUGAAAUGCGUAGAUAUCUGGAGGAACACCGGUGGCGAAGGCGGCAUCCUGGACCGACACUUACGCUGAGGAGCGAAAGCCAGGGGAGCAAACAGG